UACAUGUGGGGCAAGCGUUGUUCGGAAUUACUGGGCAUAAAGGGUGCGUAGGCGGCUUGUUAAGUCAGGGGUGAAAUCCCACGGCCCAACCGUGGAACUGCCUUUGAUACUGGCGAGCUUGAGUGCGUGAGGGGUAACCGGAACGAGUAGUGUAGCGGUGAAAUGCGUAGAUAUUACUCGGAAGGCCAACGGCGAAGGCAGGUUACUGGUACGCAACUGACGCUGAGGCACGAAAGCGUGGGGAGCAAACAGG
rnacentral:rRNA from 1 species